rnacentral:rRNA from 1 species
GUCCACGCCCUAAACGAUGAUUACUGGACAUUUGCGAUAUACAGUGAGUGUCUGAGCGAAAGCAUUAAGUAAUCCACCUGGGAAGUACGUCCGCAAGGAUGAAACUCAAAGGAAUUGACGGGGGUCCGCACAAGCGGUGGAGUAUGUGGUUUAAUUCGAUGAUACGCGAGGAACCUUACCUGGGCUAGAAUGCGCGUGACCGGUUCUGAAAGGAACUCUUCUAGCAAUAGACACAAAGCAAGGUGCUGCAUGGCUGUCGU